CCUACGGGUGGCAGCAGUAGGGAAUCUUCCACAAUGGGCGAAAGCCUGAUGGAGCAACGCCGCGUGGGUGAAGAAGGUCUUCGGAUCGUAAAACUCUGUUGUUAGAGAAGCAAGUGCGUGAGAGUAACUGUUCACGUUUCGACGGUAUCUAACCAGAAAGCCACGGCUACCUACGUGCCAGCAGCCGCGGUAAUACGUAGGUGGCAAGCGUUAUCCGGAUUUAUUGGGCGGAAAGGGAUCGAAGGCGGUCUGUUAAGUCUGAUGUGAAAGCCUUCGGCUUAACCGGGGUAGUGCAUUGGAAACUGGGAGACUUGAGUGCAGAAGAGGAGAGUGGAACUCCAUGUGUAGCGGUGAAAUGCGUAGAUAUAUGGAAGAACACCAGUGGCGAAAGCGGCUCUCUGGUCUGUAACUGACGCUGAGGUUCGAAAGCGUGGGUAGCAAACAGGAUUAGAUACCCCGGUAGUC
rnacentral:rRNA from 1 species